AUUUAUCCAGCUGGAAAUUACCCAGGGUGUUUUCGUGGAUCAGUGGGUUGACCAGUUCACAGGCUGCCCAAUGACUCUGGGGUUGGCCAUGAAGUGCGUAGUGGGAGCAGGUGAUCUUCUGCCUCUCGGUGGUGUUCUUCUGUUAGAUCAGGGUUCUUCUUUCUAAAUUUCUUCAAGACCAACAGCAUUCUGCACAUUAUUGCCUAGCAUUUUCCUUCAAACAUUGGACUACUCAGACACUGCACGCAAGAGUUACGUGUGCCACAAACAAAAAGAGCACUCACAAAGCAGGAAAAGUCAACCAGAGCAUCCAGAAGAAAUAGCAGUGGACAAGAUGUUAGCAGAGCGAGAAGUUCAGGAGAACUGGGGGGCAGGCAACAGGAGAAUUAAAGUAUUUCUUCCAUUUCAAAGUUUUGGUGUCUGGUAUAAACCCUGUCCCAGCCACUCUCAGCAAUCUUUAACAGAUGUGCUGUGAAUUGGACAUUUUUGCACCUCCCAUGACUGCUAUAAAUGCCCAAACUCCAAACAGUUACAAUGCAGCAGCGCCUAAGAAGCUACCGCUGUUCCCUAGAAAAAUUAGAAAACAUAAUCUAUUAUCUAUAAUCUAUAAUCUAUAAUACAUAAUCUAUAACAUAAUCUGAAGCUGCAGACACAAGUCCUCUUCCAAGCUCUGUUGCCCUCCCAGCCCAUGCCCAGCUGAUCUCCGUCUUACUGCUCAAGGUUUCUCUCACACACAGCUGUUAGCAAUAUCCCUACAUGAUCACUCCCUGACCUGGCUCUAUCAUAAUGAGCUUGAAUUGCUUAAACUUUU
rnacentral:lncRNA from 1 species